rnacentral:rRNA from 1 species
UACGUAGGGGGCGAGCGUUAUCCGGAAUUACUGGGUGUAAAGGGUGCGUAGACGGGAUACUAAGUCUGAUGUGAAAUACCAAGGCUCAACUUUGGAACUGCAUCGGAAACUGGUGACCUAGAGUGCGGGAGAGGAAAGCGGAAUUCUCAGUGUAGCGGUGAAAUGCGUAGAUAUUGAGAGGAACACCGGUGGCGAAGGCGGCUUUCUGGACCGUAACUGACGUUGAGGCACGAAAGCGUGGGUAGCAAAC